GAUGAACGCUGGCGGCGUGCCUAAUACAUGCAAGUCGAGCGAAUGGAUUAAGAGCUUGCUCUUAUGAAGUUAGCGGCGGACGGGUGAGUAACACGUGGGUAACCUGCCCAUAAGACUGGGAUAACUCCGGGAAACCGGGGCUAAUACCGGAUAACAUUUUGAACCGCAUGGUUCGAAAUUGAAAGGCGGCUUCGGCUGUCACUUAUGGAUGGACCCGCGUCGCAUUAGCUAGUUGGUGAGGUAACGGCUCACCAAGGCAACGAUGCGUAGCCGAGCGGAGAGGGUGAUCGGCCACACGGGGACUGAGACACGGCCCAAACUCCUACGGGAGGCAGCAGUAGGGAAUCUUCCGCAAUGGACGAAAGUCUGACGGAGCAACGCCGCGUGAGUGAUGAAGGCUUUCGGGUCGUAAAACUCUGUUGUUAGGGAAGAACAAGUGCUAGUUGGAUAAGCUGGCACCUUGACGGUACCUAACCAGAAAGCCACGGCUAACUACGUGCCAGCAGCCGCCGUAA
rnacentral:rRNA from 1 species